rnacentral:rRNA from 1 species
UACGAAGGGUGCAAGCGUUAAUCGGAAUUACUGGGCGUAAAGCGCGCGUAGGCGGUUUGGUAAGUGUGAUGUGAAAUCCCCGGGCUCAACCUGGGAACUGCAUCACAUACUGUCAGGCUAGAGUACGGUAGAGGGGGGUAGAAUUCCACGUGUAGCGGUGAAAUGCGUAGAGAUGUGGAGGAAUACCAGUGGCGAAGGCGGCCCCCUGGAUCGAUACUGACGCUGAGGUGCGAAAGCGUGGGGAGCAAACAGG